rnacentral:rRNA from 1 species
UACGGAGGGAGCUAGCGUUGUUCGGAAUUACUGGGCGUAAAGGGUGCGCAGGCGGUCCUGCAAGUCAGGCGUGAAAUCCCCGGGCUUAACCUGGGAAUGGCACUUGAAACUACGGGACUGGAGUAUGGCAGAGGGAGGUGGAAUUCCACGUGUAGCGGUGAAAUGCGUAGAGAUGUGGAGGAACACCGAUGGCGAAGGCAGCCUCCUGGGCCAAUACUGACGCUCAUGCACGAAAGCGUGGGGAGCAAACAGG